CUGAUCGCUGCUCAGGUCAGGCUGAGUAUUGGUCAGCAGGUGAAUGAAGAGAAGUAUGUACUUGAACUGGUGUUCAAAGCCAAAACAAUCAGUUAUGCCUGAAGUGAGUGGAUGCUUUCACCUUAAACAGCAGUAUCAUCUGCAGGACCAGCUCUGAGUUACAAUGCACAAGACACUACCCAAAAGAACAGACUGCUCAAAUAUUUUAUAGAUGACAUGGGUAAUACUGACAAGAGACGCAACAGCCACGCAAAUGAUCGCAGGGGUCUCCAUUAUGACAUACCCUGGAGGAAGCCACAUUGGCAAAUAUAUUUCAAUUACAAGUAAAAAUGUAUUGGUUGCUUUUUUUGAUUACACUACCGAAGUGAUUUCCCUGUUGUUUGGGUUUGGGUUUUUUCCCCACUGAAAAAGAAUCAGCAACAUCCGUGUUCCUACAUGAUGUAAGAUUUUAUACAGCAUUUGUAUAAUAAAGCAAAUUCUUCAAA